rnacentral:rRNA from 1 species
CCUACGUGAGACUGCAGUGAGGAAUAUUGGUCAAUGGACGAGAGUCUGAACCAGCCAAGUAGCGUGAAGGAUGACUGCCCUAUGGGUUGUAAACUUCUUUUAUAUGGGAAUAAAACGUUCCACGUGUGGGAUUUUGUAUGUACCAUAUCAAUAAGGAUCGGCUAACUCCGUGCCAGCAGCCGCGGUAAUACGGAGGAUCUGAGCGUUAUCCGGAUUUAUUGGGUUUAAAGGGAGCGUAGGUGGAUUGUUAAGUCUGUAGUGAAAGUUUGCGGCUCAACCGUAAAAUUGCAGUUGAAACUGGCAGUCUGGAGUACAGUAGAGGUAGGCGGAAUUCGUGGUGUAGCGGUGAAAUGCUUAGAUAUCACGAAGAACUCCGAUUGCGAAGGCAGUUCACUGGACUGCAACUGACACUGAGGCUCGAAAGUGUGGGUAUCAAACAGGAGUAGAUACCCUUGUAGUC